GACGAACGUUGGAGGCGUGCUUAACACAUGCAAGUCGAACGGAAAGGCCCUGCUUUUGUGGGGUGCUCGAGUGGCGAACGGGUGAGUAACACGUGAGUAACCUGCCCUUGACUUUGGGAUAACUUCAGGAAACUGGGGCUAAUACCGGAUAGGAGCUCCUGCUGCAUGGUGGGGGUUGGAAAGUUUCGGCGGUUGGGGAUGGACUCGCGGCUUAUCAGCUUGUUGGUGGGGUAGUGGCUUACCAAGGCUUUGACGGGUAGCCGGCCUGAGAGGGUGACCGGCCACAUUGGGACUGAGAUACGGCCCAGACUCCUACGGGAGGCAGCAGUGGGGAAUAUUGCACAAUGGGCGGAAGCCUGAUGCAGCAACGCCGCGUGCGGGAUGACGGCCUUCGGGUUGUAAACCGCUUUCGCCUGUGACGAAGCGUGAGUGACGGUAAUGGGUAAAGAAGCACCGGCUAACUACGUG
rnacentral:rRNA from 1 species